rnacentral:rRNA from 1 species
UACGAAGGGGGCGAGCGUUGUUCGGAAUUACUGGGCGUAAAGGGUGUGUAGGCGGUUUAGUAAGAUAGUGGUGAAAUGCCGGAGCUCAACUUCGGAAUUGCCAUUAUGACUAUUAAGCUAGAAUGAUGUAGAGGAUAGCGGAAUACCCAGUGUAGAGGUGAAAUUCGUAGAUAUUGGGUAGAACACCAGAGGCGAAGGCGGCUAUCUGGGCAUUUAUUGACGCUGAGGCACGAAAGCAUGGGGAUCAAACAGG